UGCACUAUCCUAUGGGCCCUGGUCAACAGUAGUGCACUACCCUAUGGGCCCUGGUCAACAGUAGUGCACUACCCUAUGAGGCCUGGUCAACAGUAGUAUACUACCCUAUGGGCCCUGGUCAACAGUAGUACACUACCCUAUGAGGCCUGGUCAACAGUAGUGCACUACCCUAUGGGAUGUCACUUGGCCCAGUGAGUCAGUCAGUCUGCCAUUGACACCUAUCUAUAUUAGUAUUGACACAGUGCAGUCUGAUAAUUUGUCAGAUUUGCUAAAUGCAUUAGUAUGUGUCACUGUGAGGCUUUUUAUGUUAGUUUCUGCCACCACCACCUCCCAAGAUAAUUAAUUUGACCCCCCAACGCUGGCACAAUGCAAGUUAAACACAGCCUGUGAGGCCAGACUAGGCCCACUCACCCAGUAAUUUAUUCUACAGACAUCAUAUGGUUUUGUAAUGUUCAAUUGUCCUGCAUUGCAUUGUUUUUGUUUAGCAGGAAAUAAGGACAGCAUCUAAUGUACAGUAAAGUGGGUCUGUGUUGUAAUUUCUUUCUUACAUCAUUGCAUUGUUUUUGCUGUUUAUUCUGGGAUUAAAGUUUAUAUUAAAACCUUGUCACCAAAUUAAUACAA